rnacentral:rRNA from 1 species
GACGAACGCUGGCGGCGUGCUUAACACAUGCAAGUCGAACGGGGCGAAGUGAUAGCUCGCUAUUAUGGAGCCUAGUGGCAAACGGGUGAGUAACGCGUAGGCAACCUGCCCUUCAGAUGGGGACAACACCUCGAAAGGGGUGCUAAUACCGAAUGACGUUUCCUAGUCGCAUGACCUGGAAACCAAAGGCCGGGCAACCGGUCACUGAAGGAUGGGCCUGCGUCUGAUUAGCUAGUUGGUGGGUAACGGCCCACCAAGGCGACGAUCAGUAGCCGGUCUGAGAGGAUGAACGGCCACAUUGGGACCGAGACACGGCCCAAACUCCUACGGGAGGCAGCAGUGGGAAUCUUCCGCAAUGGGCGCAAAGGCCUUGACGGAGCAACGCCGCGUGAGGG